CCCCUCUCAGGGGUGCACCUGGAGAGUUUCCAGUACUCUACCAGUCUUAACUACAGGAGGGAGAGUCAAGCAGGAGCAUACCCUUUCCAUUCCUAGCUUGGGCAGUGGCUAGUGAGUAGAAGACAAUCUGCUACAAGU